AUCGUUUCAUCUUCACAAUUGGCAUGAGAUUUGUCAUUCAUCGUAGUCUGUCGUCGAACUGCCAAGGAUUCGUCGAAAACCGUCUCUCUUCAUGUGAAAGCUGUCAUGUGGAAUAUAUAAAUCUUACAAGACAUUGUAAAUCAAUCAAUUAAUUUUGAAGCACAAU